UCCUAACAUUGCCGAAGUUGCAAGACAACAGAGAGGAAGAGGACAAGGACGAGGAUGACAACAAAGACAAGUAAUCUCAGAUUAAAUCCGUGCCACCCUAGUUCAUCAUGUGCUCAUACAUGGGAGGACUAUUAGAGAAGCUGGACAGCUAGCGCAAGCCAACCUAAGCCGUUACACGGUUGCAUACAUUGUCUGUACUUUCAGAAAGGAAAACAGAACAGAGGCGGCCAUCCAUUGGAGGUAGGCGGAGACUACUCACAGCCGAGCAGGAGACUGCCCUGGUGAAUAUGGCGAUUGCCAAUAAUGCAAUCCGUUUGAGGGAAAUUCAAACCCAAAUAGUUGCAGACCAGGUAGUCUUCAAGGAAUUGACAGCAUCAGCAUUUCCACAAUUGACCGGAUCGUUCAGAAGAACCACAUAAGGACAAGGCAGCUGUACCGUGUGCCUUUUGAAAGGAAUUCAGUGAUAAGGAGCAACGAUUCCAAUAUGUGCAGAGUAUCUUUGAGCUGGAUGCCAUGGCUGACCCACUGUAGUACAUUUUCAUCGACUAGGCAGGGUUCAACCUAACAAAAGGGGGCACAACAUCAUUGGUCGCCGUGCCAUCAUACAAGUUCCUGGUCAGAAGGGAGGGUGACGUUGCCUCCCAUGUGCAGUAAUCGUGGCGUCCUCCACCGCCACGUCAAAGUGGGUCCAUACAACACGGCACAACUCCAAUUUCUAGAUCAGCUGCACAAUAACAUUCUUCAGCAGGAAGGCAACCAGAGCAAGCCCAAUAUGUUUUCAUUUCGGAUAAUGUGAGUUUCCAUCGUGCUGCUCUGGUUCGUGCCUGGUUCAAUGACCAACCCAGGUUCUCCGUUCUUUUUUUUUUGCCAGCAUAUUCCCCAUUUCUGAAUCCAAUUGAGGAAUUUUUCUCAACAUGGCAGUGGAGAGUGUAUGACUGCAACCUCUACGCACAGCAAAACCUCCUGGAGGCAAUGGUAGACGCCUGUGGUGAUGUGCCUGUGGUGUCUAGCCAGGGUUUUCUAAGGCAUACAAGGGCAUUUUUCCCCCACGGCCUGGUAAGAGCAAACAUAAUGUGUGACACUGAUGCUGAGUAACCUGUACA